GAACGGGAUUAGAUACCCCGGUAGUCCACGCCGUAAACGAUGGGUGCUAGGUGUGGGAGGUAUCGACCCCUUCCGUGCCGGAGCUAACGCACUAAGCACCCCGCCUGGGGAGUACGGCCGCAAGGCUGAAACUCAAAGGAAUUGACGGGGGCCCGCACAAGCGGUGGAGCAUGUGGUUUAAUUCGAAGCAACGCGAAGAACCUUACCUGGGCUUGACAUCACCGCGAACCUGGCCGAAAGGCCGGGGUGCCCUUCGGGGAGCGCGGUGACAGGUGCUGCAUGGUUGUCGUCAGCUCGUGUCGUGAGAUGUUGGGUUAAGUCCCGCAACGAGCGCAACCCCCGCCCUGUGUUGCCAGCGGUUCGGCCGGGCACUCACAGGGGACUGCCGGUGACAAACCGGAGGAAGGUGGGGAUGACGUCAAAUCAUCAUGGCCCUUAUGCCCAGGGCUACACACGUGCUACAAUGGCCGGUACAACGGGUUGCGAACCCGCGAGGGGGAGCCAAUCCCUAAAAGCCGGUCCCAGUUCGGAUCGCAGGCUGCAACUCGCCUGCGUGAAGCCGGAAUCGCUAGUAAUCGCGGAUC
rnacentral:rRNA from 1 species